rnacentral:tRNA from 1 species
GGCGUAGUUCAAUGGUUAGAAUUCUGGUUUUGGGAAUCAGCGAUAUAGGUUCGAUUCCUAUCGCCC